rnacentral:rRNA from 1 species
CUUUGAAUAAAUCAACGGUGAUACCUGCCCAGUGAUAAUUAAUAAAAAAUUAUAAUUAAAUUUAAAUAUUAUUAAACGGAUGCGGUAACUCUGACUGUAAUAAAGUAGCAUAAUUAGUUGUCACUUAAUUGGUGGAGAGAAUGAACGGUAACACGAGCAUUUCAUUGUCUUAAUUAAAAGUUUUUAAAAUUGAAAUAAAAGUGAAGAUGCUUUUAAUAAUCGUAAGACGAAAAGACCCUAUAGAGCUUUACUAUAAUUUUAUAAUAUUUAAAUAAAAGUUUUAUUAUUAUUUUUAAAAUUGGUAGUUUAGUUGGGGCGACUGUCUUUUAUAAUUAACAAAGAUAAGCAAAUAUUAAUAACUAAUUUAUUGUAUAAUUAAUAAAUUUAACAAUUAUGAGAUAGGCUAUAAUGACCCGUUAAAUUAAUUAAUUAUUUAACGAUUAAUAAAUAAAAGCUACCUUAGGGAUAACAGGAUAAUUUUGUUUUAGAGUUCUUAUCAAUUACAAAGUUUGUCACCUCUAUGUUGAAUUAAGAUAUCCCAAUAAUGUAGAAGUUAUUAAUGGUAGGUCUGUUCGACCUUUAAAAU